AGGCCUGCGGGUUGUAAAGCACUUYCWKUAGAGAAGAAAAGCCUACGGUUAAUACCCGUGAGUCUUGACGUAACCUACAGAAGAAGCACCGGCUAACUCCGUGCCAGCAGCCGCGGUAAUACGGAGGGUGCGAGCGUUAAUCGGAAUUACUGGGCGUAAAGCGCGCGUAGGCGGCUUUGUAAGUCGGAUGUGAAAGCCCAGGGCUUAACCUUGGAAUUGCAUUCGAUACUGCAGAACUAGAGUAUGGUAGAGGGAAGUGGAAUUUCCGGUGUAGCGGUGAAAUGCGUAGAUAUCGGAAGGAACACCAGUGGCGAAGGCGACUUCCUGGGCCAAUACUGACGCUGAGGUGCGAAAGCGUGGGGAACAAACAGGAUUAGAUACCCUGGUAGUCCACGCCGUAAACGAUGAGAACUAGAUGUCGGGAGGAUUUGCCUUUCGGUGUCGCAGCUAACGCAUUAAGUUCUCCGCCUGGGGAGUACGCCGGCAACGGUAAAACUCAAAGGAAUUGACGGGGACCCGCACAAGCGGUGGAGCAUGUGGUUUAAUUCGAUGCAACGCGAAGAACCUUACCUGCCCUUGACAUUGACAGAACCCUGUAGAGAUACGGGGGUGCUUCGGCCUGGAAAACAGGUGCUGCAUGGCUGUCGUCAGCUCGUGUCGUGAGAUGUUGGGUUAAGUCCCGCAACGAGCGCAACCCUUGUCCUUAGUUGCCAGCACUUC
rnacentral:rRNA from 1 species